UCCCGGUUGGUGUAAUGGUUAACAUUGCCGCCUCUCAUGGCGUCAACCAGUCCGCGGCAGCUCGGGGUUCGAUUCCCCGAUCGGGAA